UAUAAGAAGUCGGCAGGUUCCUCCGAAACGGAGACUGGAACUAGCGCAGCUGCUCACAUCUCUGCCUGACGGACAUUUACUGCACAUCAUGGCAGUCCUUAUGAAAAUCUUCUUCAUUUCUCUGGUGCUAUCAAUUGUUGCUACAGCUGAGCUAGAAAAGUGUGGGGACCCGUGCGUCAGCCACCAGUGCGGGCCUGGACAGCGGUGCGUGCCGCGGCAGGUGCAGUGCGUGAGGGCGCCUUGCUGCAGCCUGCCGCAUUGCGCCGACGCAGACAGCAGUGAAGGCUGACGCUGGCCGCGUAUCGCCUACGCACGCCUGCACGCAAUAAACAGUCAUUUUACAAAGUGUGAAGACGUUUACUUUUCUCUACAACCCUCUGCCUAGCUAAAUGUACACCUACAUACAUACUCUGCAGGCUACCACACUGAGCGUGGUCGAUGGUACCUGGUUCCACUGCUAAUCAUUCCCUUUUCAUGUUCCACUCGCAGAUGGAGCUUCCGCAUGAGGCAUAGUUCCUCCUAUCCUGUCUUUGGGGUCCCUACGUGUUCCGGCCUUCCUUCCAACAUGAACAUCUUCGGGAAAUUUAUUCUCUUUUUGCUGGUGGUUUGCAUUGUCACGUCAGAUGAUUCGUAUGAAUCAUCAUCAUCAUCAUCAAAGGAGAAGAUAGUAGCACAGCAGAAGGGAACAGUGCGGGAUGUAACACAGCAAAAGUGCAAGGACCCAUGU